UUUUUUGCAGAACCGUAACAACGGGUUGACGCGACAACCACCGCCUGCUCUACCGGCGCGACCUCACGGUUACCGGGGCAAUGGGGGAUUCCUGGCGCAGCGAGCGACGUGAUUGGCCGAGCCCGGCAAAGAGCUCUUAAAUGGGUCAAAGCAGUCAAGUGUCUCCACCAAGGAGGUGUAAAAUGUGUGUGCGCGUCUCCGAGUGUGUGACUGUGCAUCCAGGCAGACUGGGAACAGACUUCCUCAUCCGACUGCACAUGCAGCGAAAAGGAUCGGCCUGUGCGGUUAUAAAAGCGCCCACCCACUCCCUUCCUCUCCGACGCUUCCUGUCAGGCUCUGAUGUCCUUCGUUAUUUCAUCAAUUUUUUUGUUUUUCUGCUCCCUCCACCAAUCUCUCUCCCACUUGCAUGUUUGACAGUCACCCAUCUGUUUGUGCCGGGGCCGCGGAGGACAACACUGACCCCAAAUGGCCGUGAUACGAAAUGCUUUUCAGCGCUCUGAAAGCGCAUCAGAGGAAUGAUGCAACAUGCUGCCAUAUUAGUGUGAAAGGAUCGGCCUUGGCAGGUUUUAUUGCACACGUCCAUCCUCAUCAGGUGUUGGGAUGCAUUCACCCAGUGCAGUUGCCCGAUGCAGAUCUUAGCGGCCAGCAGGGGCAGCGAGGGGUCGUCUGGUCUCAUCCUGGCACAUUCUUUCAACACAGACACAGCGGCGACCCACUGUGAAACACACACACCAGAACGAAUGACAAACUACCUCCACACAGUGGAUACACAAACAGAGAGGAAACUGACGUCUCUGGAAGACCAGAUGCCCAAACUGGACUGAUUAUUACAAAUAUUCAAAGAGUUCAAGAACUUUCCAAGACGGGAAGAAGCCAGAGGCGCUGAGCAGCCUUGGGCUCGACGCCAAGCCAAAUCAAAUAAGCAGACAGCUGCCAACCAUCAGACAUCAUCCAUGUCUGACUUGAUUCCCACAGCAGCUAGCUUCAUAUCCCAUAGAGAGGCCUGAGAAAGAGCCAACGAGCAACCAGGAAGUGACGGGACUUGCGUGCAGCGGCUUCCCAGCCUCCAGGUGCGACCCGCGGUCACUCACCGUCCUCAUGGAUCCGC